AUCUGGGUGAUGAAGAAAAUCAGACGGAUUCCCAUUGAAUUUCCAAAUAUGAUUUUAACAACCAGCUACUUCUGACAGAU
rnacentral:snoRNA from 10 species